rnacentral:rRNA from 1 species
AUGAAGCAGAAUGUGGAAAAAUUCAUUGCAGAAUGUCCUAUUUGCCAAAGGGAAAAGCAUGAGACCUGCUUGCAGCCUGGACUGUUGGACCCCCUACCAAUUGCAGAUAUGGUGUGGCAACACAUCUCGAUGGAUUUUGUGGAAGGCCUGCCAAAAUCCCAGGGCAAGGAUGUCAUUAUGGUUGUGGUCGAUAGGUUCACCAAGUACAGUCACUUCAUUCCUAUGGCCCACCCAUACUCAGUCCUCUUGGUGGCUCAGAAAUUUGUGGAUCACAUCAUAAGAUUACAUGGCCCUCCUAAGAUCAUCAUCUCGGACAGAGACAGGAUUUUCACUAGCAAACUGUGGAAGGACAUUUUUACUGCCCUCAAGGUGGAGUUACGAUUCAGCACAGCAUACCAUCCCUAG